rnacentral:rRNA from 1 species
UACGUAGGUGGCAAGCGUUGUCCGGACUUACUGGGCGUAAAGAGCGCGCAGGCGGUCGUUCAAGUCGCGUGUGAAAGCCCCCGGCUCAACUGGGGAGGGUCACGCGAUACUGAUCGACUCGAAGGCAGGAGAGGGAAGUGGAAUUCCCGGUGUAGUGGUGAAAUGCGUAGAUAUCGGGAGGAACACCAGUGGCGAAGGCGACUUCCUGGCCUGUUCUUGACGCUGAGGCGCGAAAGCUAGGGGAGCAAACGGG